CAGUAGCCGCGGUAAUACGUAGGUGGCAAGCGUUAUCCGGAAUUAUUGGGCAUAAAGGGCAUCUAGGCGGCCGGAUAAGUCUGGGGUGAAAACUUGCGGCUCAACCGCAAGCCUGCCCUGGAAACUAUGCGGCUAGAGUACUGGAGAGGUGGACGGAACUGCACGAGUAGGGGUGAAAUUCGUAGAUAUGUGCAGGAGUGCCGAUGAUGAAGAUAGUUCACUGGACGGUAACUGACGCUGAAGUGCGAAAGCUAGGGGAGCAAACAGGAUUAGAUACCCCAGUAGUCCCUGUCUCUUAUAC
rnacentral:rRNA from 1 species